GACAGAGGGUGCAAACGUUGUUCGGAAUUAUUGGGCGUAAAGAGCUCGUAGGCGGUUUGUCGCGUCGAAUGUGAAAACCCGGGGCUCAACCCCGGGCCUGCAUUCGAUACGGGCAGACUAGAGUUCGGUAGGGGAGUCUGGAAUUCCUGGUGUAGCGGUGAAAUGCGCAGAUAUCAGGAGGAACACCGGUGGCGAAGGCGGGACUCUGGGCCGAUACUGACGCUGAGGAGCGAAAGCGUGGGGAGCAAACAGG
rnacentral:rRNA from 1 species